CCUGACAAGGGAGCAUGUAGCCGUGGUGGGGGAAAUUAGGAAGUCUUCAGAUUACAAUAUCAAAUGUAAACGAGGAUACUUACCAAAACAGAAGUGUUUCCUAGAAUGUCUGGUGUCAGGUCAAGUAAAUCUAAUGCUGGAACAUUAUAGAAUAUUCCACUUUAGUAAGAAAGCAGAAUGAGAAGGAGAGAAGAAGAAAGAAGAAGAGAAAGAGGAGGCGAAGGAGGGAGAAGGUAAAGGAAGAGAAGAAGACAUCCUUAAUUGAAUUAGGGCUGUGU